rnacentral:pre_miRNA from 1 species
CAAGUGUGCAUUGUAGUUGCAUUGCAUGAGAUACAACUAUGCAAUACUUCUACAGUGCAACUCCUG